GCCAGGCAUGGUGGCAUAUGUCUGUAAUCUCUGCUGCCAGGGAGGCUGAAGGUGGUAGAUCUCUUGGGAUUGUAAAUUCUCAGCUGCAGGUGGCUAUGAAGAUUGAGUGUCCACCCUCAAUUCAGCAUUAAUAUGGCAGAGCCCCUAGGGGUAGGGGGCUGCCUGGUUACCUAAGGAGGGGCAAAUCAGCCCAAGUUGGAAACAGGGCAUGUCACAGCUCCCGUGCUGAUUAAUAGUGGGAUUUGGACUAGGGGUAACUUCAGACUGGGAAAAAAAAAUAAGGGUAA
rnacentral:SRP_RNA from 1 species